GUCAUUAUUGACCUUCCAGACCUUGCAUUAGUCACAAAAGUGGCAGUUGAAGAGGCUGCAAUGUUGGCUGUGGAUGUUAAGAUCAAAGGGGUGCAUGUCUAUUAAAUGGAAUGGUCCUCAGCAAUUGAUGUCCAUAGUUGUUUGCGUGGUUAUGGAAUGUUACGGUAAGUCAACUUACAUCCACUGGAAGAGGCUGAACUAGUAUUUGCUUGGCUGUUUGAAUGAAAUGCAUUGGCUGUUGGUGAAUAAAAACAAUAACAUCAGAGGUAGUUGUAAUAAUUGUGUUUUCUAUGUCAGAUGUCAAUAGCUAUUCCUGACCAGUAUUGUAUUAAUUAGCUUUAUUGGGUUGUUAUUUGUAUGUUUAUGGAAUGUUAAGUUAACUUACAUCCACUAGAAGAGGCUGAACUAGUAUUUGCUUGGCUGUGGGAAUAAACAGCAUUGGCUGUGGAUGAAAUAAAGUAAUAACAUCAGAGGUAACUAUAAUAAUUGUGGUCUUUAAGUCAGAUGCCAAUAGUUAUUCAGGUAUAUUGUAUUAAAAUAAUAGCUUCACUGGGUUGUUGUUUGCAUGUUAAUGGGGUGUUAAAUGAACUCACAUCCACUAGAAGAGGCUGAACUAGUAUUUGUUUGGUAGUUGGAAUGAACAGCAUUGGCUGUGAAUGAAUUGAAAUAACAACAUCAGAAAGAGUUAUUGAAUAAUAAUUGUGUUUUUUAUGUCAGAUGGAAAGUUAAGUUAACUUACAUCCACUAGAAGAGGCUGAACUGGUUCUUGCUUGGCUGUUGGAAUUAACAGCAUUGGCUGUGGAUGAAUCGAACUAACAAUAUCAGAGGAAUCAAAAUUUGCUUUCCUUGUGUGAAGAUGGAAACUCUGCACCAUUACCCCGCAGGCUGCUGCAAGGCCACAGUUCAGCUUGCAUUUUUUGCAAGCCAAAAGGAAAAAGGCUUAUUAAAAGAAGCAUAUCUCCAGGAUAAGGAAUUGAAGGAGUAGCUAUGCUAUUUAAGAGGGAAACUUAUGAAAAUACAUAAUUUCUAUCACAAUUUUAUGAGCAAUGUACUCAACAAAAUUGCUUGAAGUCAUGAGCCACUUUCUAUAGAAAUGAAAUGUAAACUUUUUCGCAGAUCAAAUAAUAUCAAUGGCUCGAAAGAACCUUCUUGGGUUAUGAACUACAAAAAGAAGUGCCUGGAGCGUGUGAAGAAGUGUAGGGAGAAACACUCACUCGUGGCUGAUUUUUCUUUUGCUUUUUGACUUUUUGACUUUUCUGCUGUUGUCACUUACUUGUGUGUUUUAUAUCAAAACCAUGCAUGGUCCAGCCUUUUGUAUUAGUAUUCAAAGUAUGACAUAAUCAUUUCAUGUAGCUCAUAGAUCAUAGUUAUUAUAAUAAUUAUGUAAAUAGCAGUUAAAGAACUACCGGGAGGAAGGUACAAAAAUACUCUCUUCUUUCGAUUUCCGCCAAAGUGCUCUAAG